UGGCGGUGCGGGAGGGACAUGCCGGUAAGCGUACGUGGCUGGAAGCAGCAUGAAGCUUGACCGCACAGACAUGGAGCAGCAGCCACGAAAAUACAUGGUGUUCACGAAGCUGGAAUGGUUGGUGAAGGAGAUGCAGCAUUCGGAGACGGGCAUUCCUGUCAGGUCUCAGAAGGUGCUGCUUACGUCGGUGCCCUACGCCUUCACAGGUUACGACCUGAUAGAGUGGUUGUCGGAGCGACUGGAGAUCAGUGAUCCGGG